UACGGAGGGUGCUAGCGUUGUUCGGAAUCACUGGGCGUAAAGGGCGUGUAGGCGGUCUGUUAAGUCUGAUGUGAAAUCCCCUCGCUCAACGAGGGAACUGCGUCGGAUACUGGCAGACUUGAGUACCGGAGAGGAAGGUGGAAUUCCCGGUGUAGCGGUGAAAUUCGUAGAUAUUCGGAAGAACACCAGUGGCGAAGGCGACUUACUGGACACAUAUUGACGCUGAGGUGCGAAAGCGUGGGGAGCAAACAGG
rnacentral:rRNA from 1 species